rnacentral:rRNA from 1 species
GAGGAGCUUGCUCCUCUGACGUUAGCGGCGGACGGGUGAGUAACACGUGGAUAACCUACCUAUAAGACUGGGAUAACUUCGGGAAACCGGAGCUAAUACCGGAUAAUAUAUUGAACCGCAUGGUUCAAUAGUGAAAGACGGUUUUGCUGUCACUUAUAGAUGGAUCCGCGCCGCAUUAGCUAGUUGGUAAGGUAACGGCUUACCAAGGCAACGAUGCGUAGCCGACCUGAGAGGGUGAUCGGCCACACUGGAACUGAGACACGGUCCAGACUCCUACGGGAGGCAGCAGUAGGGAAUCUUCCGCCAAAAAAAAUAA